UUUUUCACGAUUCUUGAAGUAGUAUUGCAUUCUAUGAUGUAAGUACAGAUUACGUGUCUUAUGUUGUGCAGGUGUACACUGAUAACUGGUGUGAAGUCAGGAAACUUUAAAGUUUUCUGGAAGUAUUUCUUUUUGUUGACUGCUAAGAAUUUACACAUUUAUAAUGGAUUAUUAGCAUGAAUUAUGUCAUUGGUUUUCUUACAAGACAUUGACUAUUUUUUCGCCUUGUCUGCGGAGCUCUCUUAUCUCAAACCUUUUGGUGCUGUCAAUCUCGGUUUCUUCUUGCUGUGUUAAUUAUCAUCAUUGUUACUGUCUGGUUUUAAACUUGUCUGUUUUGCUGCUUUAGUCUGUUUAGAGGCAUAAGAGUGCGCAAUUUGUUGGACUAGAAAAAUUGGGUAGUAUAUUUGGAAGCCUGAUGUACGUAGAAGUUCAGUACUACUUUCCUUGUGACUUGGGUUGUGACUUGGGGCUGUUGUUACAUUUUGGAUAACUUGUCUGUCAGGAACAGUUGCUGAUGAUGUAGUUGUUCUAGCAUGUUGAUUGGAUCUCUUUACAAGGGCUGUGUAAGCCGUCCCUUUUUGUUUUUGCUAGAUUGCAUUCUUUGUCGUGAUUGUUCGAGUCGUCUCAGAUGAUCAGCUUUUGCUCCUACUCUCUUACUAUCUGGUAGAAGCAAUAAGCAUUCUGUUGACUGUGGAAUUUUCUGCCUCAUUGCCUCGGCAGAUUUACUAAUAUCUGCUGCUACGGUUUGUAGCAGUGCUGGACAUUGGCAAAGUUUUGAGCCUAUCACAAAGACAUACGAAUGUUUUGGGUCUGGCUGUAGUGACAUAGUUCGGAUCCACGUUCCUGUAAUCAUUGCAGUUGCUGCGUUUGUCUCAUUAAUCUACUCACAUAUUCUACUCACUCAGAAUGUUGCUGCUGAAGGAAUCACCAACUAAUGAAUGAUUCGGUGAUGCUAACUCUGUUUCUGAUGUCAUGGAGUAUGCAGUGAAUUACGGUCUAGAACAACACAUGGUAGUUGCCCACGACAUGCUACAAUAUUAAUUAUGAUGCUGACUACUCUCUGUGUCCAGUGGGAAAAUAACAACUGCUGUUGCACGUUCAAGAUGAAGAUCAUCUGUUACAAGUCAGAAAUUCAGACUUGAUUCACUAUGUUUGAAGUUUUAGUUCAAACAUGACAGCGGAAAAUUGUAUUAAACUUGCACUUCAGGUAGAUUGUUCAUGAUUAUAUAUAUAUGGAUAUCAACUCAUAUGGAAUAUUUAAUAAUAGUGAAAAUAUUUACCACUAAAGUGCUAUGUCAUCCUUUUCGAAGUACCACUCCAGUACCAGUACAACUAGUAACUACGAAUACUUUCACUUCCGUUUUUUAAGUUACUAAUACUAGCACAAGCUUCACUAGUCGUGACUCCUUCUUCUGGUUAAAUGCAUGACUCCACAAGGAGUUGGCUUAGCUCAGAAUCAGCCAGGUUGC